rnacentral:tRNA from 1 species
GCCUUAGUAGUAUAAAAAUUACACUGGUUUUGUAAACCAGAAACGGAGUAUAUAACCUCCCCAAGGCA